CGCUGCUAAUCUAUCGCUGCCAACCUAUCUACCGCGGCGAAUCUAUCUAUCACUGCCAAUUUAUCUACCACUGCCAAUCUAUCUAUCGCUGCCAAUCUAUUGCUGCUAAUCUAUCGCUGCUAAUCUAUCGCUGCUGCCAAUCUAUCUAUCGCUGCUAAUCUAUCGCCGCUGCCAAUCUAUCCCUCACUGCUAAGCUAUCCCUCGCUGCUAAGCUAUCCCUCACUGCUAAGCUAUCCCUCGCUGCUAAGCUAUCCCUCGCUGCUAAGCUAUCCCUCACUGCUAAGCUAUCCCUCGCUGCUAAGCUAUCCCUCGCUGCUAAGCUAUCCCUCACUGCUAAGCUAUCCCUCGCUGCUAAGCUAUCCCUCACUGCUAAGCUAUCCCUCGCUGCUAAGCUAUCCCUCACUACUAAGCUAUCUAUCACUGCUAAUCUAUCGCUGCCAAUCUAUCUAUCACUGCCAAUCUAUCUAUCACUGCUAAUCUAUCGCUGCUAAUCUAUUGCUGCUAAUCUAUUGCUGCUGCCAAUCUAUCUAUCACUGCUAAUCUAUUGCUGCUAAUCUAUCACUGCUAAUCUAUCGCUGCUAAUCUAUCGCUGCUAAUCUAUUGCUGCUAAUCUAUUGCUGCUAAUCUAUCGCUGCCAACCUAUCUACCGCGGCGAAUCUAUCUAUUGCUGCCAAUCAACCUACCACUGCCAACCUAUCUAUUGCUGCCAAUCUAUCGCUGCCAACCUAUCUACUGCAGUGAAUCUAUCUAUCACUAUCAUUACUAGUUCAAAAUAGAACUAGAGCAUAAAUACACUAAACUUCUUUUGAUAGAUAAUGAUUUUUGAUAACACUCAUAGCAUUAUAUCAUCUAUAUAGGGUAAAUCAUGGUCCCAUUUGGUCCCAUUUUAACAAAAUGGGACCAAAUGGGACCAGAAUCAGUAAUUUAUAAGAAGAACAUGACCUGGGACU
rnacentral:sRNA from 1 species